GUUAAUCUCGCGAUGGUUCAAAAACGAUUCAAAUUCAAAUUUAAAAUAAAGACAAACAACAAAAGUUUUCAAACUUUAAAACUAAAAUGUUCGAGUCGUGCUAAAUAAUGCAAAGGUGAUUGUGGUGAAGAAACCCCACUUUUAUAAAAUGUUUAAAUACUAUCAGAUGAAUAAAACAGCAGCAUAAAUAGUUAUUUAAAUACCUUUUGUAAUUAAUAAAAUGUCAAACUAAAUUAUUUGAGGACUUGACUUUUUGUGACAAUGGCCUAAAUUGAAUUACUAAAAUAGAUGCCAAGUAUAUAUAUUUUACAAAAAAAUAAAACAAUAGGAAACAAAGACAAAACAGAAAACAAAACUAACAAAAAGAAAAGAACCCCCCGGGGCUCCGGCCCAGCAGGCCAUCAACCCCACUGGGCCAACCCACCAGUCCCAGCUGGCCACCCCACUUAACCCCCUCGGUCCACUAACCGAAACCCUAACCCCCACUGCUCCCCCGAUCCCCCCACUCGGACCCACUCCUUCCCCCUCGUCCCACUCCUCCCUCUCGCCCUUCCCCGAUCUAGAUCGGGGCAACCCCCCGAUCCCAUCGCCCCAUCGCCGCCUCGGUGUCGCCGUCACCUCCCUCGCGGAGUCGGCCCCCUCCUGUCGCCCCACCGGCGCCCCGCCGGCCGUCCACGACCACGCUGACGCGGACCCCGCCCGGAGCUACCUCGCCCCCGCCGCACGAGGACCGCGCCGCCGAAGCCGCUCACCGUCUUCCCCGAAUAGCCGUCGCCUCGUCGUCCACGCCGGUCUGCCUCCCCCUACGCACGUCGUCGCCGUUGUCCUCCCCAAGCACCACUGCCACGUCCCUACUCCUCGCAGUGAGCCCUGACUCCCCUCUUCCCCCUCGCGCCCGUGCUCAUGCUCACGCACCUGUGCGCGCGCACCCGCAGCCGCCGCGCUCACUGCCCCGCGCACCCUGGCACGUGCCCCGGCGCGUGAGCCCGCGCCCCUGGAUCCUCGAGUGUCGCUGCCCCCUGUACCCUCGCGUCCCGCCCCGCCAGCCCUGCCCGUCGCCGGUCACAGCGGCCACCGCCCGGGCGCCUCGCCCACAUCUCGCGCCGCUCUCGGGGCCACCUCUCCGUGCGUCGCUCUGGCCAUCCCCGCCUCCUCUGCACCCCGCCCGCAGCCACCACCAUGGCUGCCCUGGCCACUGACCUUGCCGGCCUACAUCGCCCGCUCGGGCGGUGCCGCCCGCCCCUGCGCCCGUUAGCCCGCCCGCUAAGGUCCCAGGGCCAAUGACAAACGGGGCCCACCAGCCCCAGAACGUUUUAUAAAAAAGGAAUUAAUUAAAAUAAUAUAAUUAAUUAAUUAAGAUAAUUAUUUAACUUAAUUAAUCAUGUUAGUUAGUCCAAUUAAGCCUAAUUAAUUAACCUAAUCACUUUGAUUAAGUUCACUAAUCCCGUUUAGUUAACUGUGUCAAUGAUAGACGGGACCCACACGUCAGUUUGACCCAGUCAACGCCUUGUUGACUCCUGACGUCAUGCUGAUGUCAGCGUGCACUAUUCUGGAUAAUGUUGAAUUUAAAUACUUAAAUAAAUCCUAAAAUGAAUUAAUUCUUUUAAAAUUGAUAUAAAAUAAACCAUAGCUCGGAUGAAAAAUACUUUGUACAUGAAAGUUUCUCAGAACGACGAGACGAAUCCGGAUACGUAGCCCGUUCGUCCGCCACACACCCCUAGCAUACCGAACACGCAACUUUCCCCCUUCGGUUCCUUUGUCCGAAAACGCGAAACACCAGGAAUACUUUCCCGGAUGUUCCCCCCUUCACUAGUAUUACCUCAUACCGCGUUAGGGCACGCCUAGCAUCACGCAUUGCUUUGUCAUGCAUCGUUAUGCAUAUGUUUGCAUUGUAUUCAUUGUUUCUUCCCACUCUUCUCUCCGAUAGACUACGAGAUCGACGCUCCUGCCGCCCCGUUCGACUACGGAGUUGACGACCCCUCCUUCUUGCCAGAGCAACCAGGCAAGCCCCCCCCUUGAUCACCAGAUAUCGCCUAUUCUUCUCUAUACUGCUUGCAUUAGAGUAGUGUAGCAUGUUACUGUUCGGUUACUCCUAUUCUGUUGCAUAGCCUGUCCUUGUUGCUACAGUCAUUGAUACCCUACCUGCAAUCAUAAAUGCUUAGUAUAGGAUGCUAGUUUAUCAUCAUUGGCCCUACAUUCUUGUCAGUCUGCCUUGAUAUACUAUUGGGCCGUGAUCACUCAGGAGGUGAUCACGGGUAUAUACUAUACAUACAUACAUAUUAUACAGAUGGUGACUAAAGUCGGGUCAGCUUGUUGAGUACCUGCAAGUGAUCCCGAUGUGGGGGCUGAAAGGACAGGUGGCUCCAUCCCGGUAGAGGUGGGCCUGGGUUCCUGACGGCCCCCGACUGUUACUUUGUGGCGGAGCGACAGGGCAGGUUGAGACCACCUAGGAGACAGGUGGGCCUGGCCCUGGUCGGCGUUCGCGGUUGCUUCAUAAUAACACGCUUAACGAGAUCUUGGUAUUUGAUCCGAGUCUGGCUACUGGCCUAUACGCACUAACCAACUACGCGAGAACAGUUAUGGGCACUCGACGUAGUGGUAUCAGCCGAAGCCUUCGUCACGUCAGUGACUGAGCGGCGCGCGCCGGGUUGGACUGCGUUAACGCAACUUCCUUUGUAAUGGAGGCUGCUAGGUCUGCUCACCGGCCGCGUACGCAACGUGCAUGUGUGCAAUGGGCGAUGGGCCCAGCCCCCUGCGUGCAUAGGAUUUAGACCGGCGUGCUGACCUCUCUGUUGUGCCUAGGUGGGGCUGCGACGUGUUGAUCUUCCGAGGCCGGGCAUGACCCAGGAAAGUGUGUCCAGCCAAAUGGGAUCGAGCGUGUUGGGUUAUGUGGUGCACCCCUGCAGGGAAGUUAAUCUAUUCGAAUAGCCGUGAUCUUCGGUAACAGGACGACUUGGAGUUGUACCUUGACCUUAUGACAACUAGAACCGGAAACUUAAUAAAACACACCCUUCCAAGUGCCAGAUACAACCCGGUGAUCGCUCUCUAACAGGGAGACGAGGAGAGGAUCGCCGGGUAGGAUUAUGCUAUGCGUUGCUACCUGGAGGACUUCACUCUACUCUCUUCUACAUGCUGCAAGACGGAGGCUGCCAGAAGCGUAGUCUUCGAUAGGACUAGCUAUCUCCCUCUUAUUCUGGCAUUCUGCAGUUCAGUCCACUGAUAUUGCCUCCUUACACAUAUACCCAUGCAUAAGUAGUGUAGCUCCUUGCUUGCGAGUACUUUGGAUGAGUACUCACGGUUGCUUUGCUCCCUCUUUUCCCCCGUUUUCCUCUUCUUCUCGGAUGCUGCAACCAUACUUUGGAGCCCAGGAGCCAGACGCCACCGUCGACGACGACUACUAUGCUGGAGGUGCCUACUACUACGUGCAGCCUGCUGACGACGACCAGGAGUAGUUUAGGAGGAUCCCAGGCAGGAGGCCUGCGCCUCUUUGGAUCUGUAUCCCAGUUUGUGCUAGCCUUCUUAAGGCAAACUUGUUUAACUUAUGUCUGUACUCAGAUAUUGUUGCUUCCGCUGACUCGUCUAUGAUCGAGCACUUGUAUUCGAGCCCUCGAGGCCCCUGGCUUGUAUUAUGAUGCUUGUAUGACGUAUUUAUGUUUUAGAGUUGUGUUGUGAUAUCUUCCCGUGAGUCCCUGAUCUUGAUCGUACACGUUUGCGUGCAUGAUUAGUGUACAAUUGAAUCGAGGGCGUCACAAUUUGGUAUCAGAGCCAACUGCCUGUAAGAACCCCCCUUCCCAACUCGUUGGCCGAAGUCGAGUCUAGACAUUGCAAAAACUUUUACUAACAUGGAUGUCUGUCUUACCGGCACACGUCGCCAUUGGGUGGUAGUAGGAUCUUUUAUUCCUCGUCUAUACUCUGGGAUUCUGAUCUCUCUUCUAUUUGGGUUAAAUGAUUUUCUAAAAUCUAACUUUAGGUUCUCGAAAACGCUUUCUCCCGGAGAGCCCCUUCAGUCCAGAUGAUCGUCGACUGCACAUGAAGAUUUCAAAGUUACUUUCUGAUACCCUUUCGAGACUGCCCAUUGCUUUUGCAAUUCACUACCACCAAAAUAUCCCUAUGAAUAAAUUCAUACACCGUUCUUACUUAGUCCCCAGUUGCUCAUUUUAUUACAAGAUGCCCUGAAAUACUCAUUGUUGUUCUUAGUAUACUUAUGCCUACUGCCUUGCAGUUCCUUACCACCUGAAUACCCCUACGGAUAAUUUCUCGCCCUUAUCGAGUAUCCACUCAUCCCCGGUUGUUCAUGUGUUUCACAAAAGUCUUCGAAAUACCAUUCGAUCUUCCGAAAAUCCUCAGCAACCUAUUGCUCUGGAAUUUCUUGUUUGCUUCCAUUAUGAUUAAUCCCAUAGGUCUGGUAAUCUUAUUUGCAUCCUUUGUCAUUAUCAUUUGAGUCCGUUGAUUCAAUAUGUUGCGAAUGCUUGCAAUCCUCAACCAGAUCCUAGAAUUCAUCCUUCCGGCUCAGACACCAUUUUUAAACAUGAGCUGGGUCUCGACGAAUCAAGUUAUCGUCGAUUGUAACCCCCUAUGUCUAUUUUGGGCUAUCCAUCUUUGAUCAGAGCGUCUGCUUCUGAUCCUUUGUUUUGGAAAUCAUAAUUCCUUUGUUAUCUAAGCAUCAAAUUAUUCCGAUGUUCUAUAAUCUAAUGCAUUUGCAUUCUUUCUUCCUCUAAUUGAGUACCGAUACUCACAUCAGCCUCGUUGUGGACCUCCAUACCCAUUGCGGGGUUAUUAUCCGACAGUGCCCUUCACAACCAAAAUUCUUAUGAGUUCUUUACCCGAUACAUAAUGCCUUUGGUAAAUUAUAUCCUCUACUUUUUUCAAACAUGCUCUACUUUGAGCUUGUGUUAUUUACUCCUGAAGUUCAUGGCAUAUGUUCUAAGAAGCCCCAAUGGGUUGAACCUAUGCCUUCCUUAAUCUGCAUGAACUCGAAAGUUUUCACGGGUCAUACUCCUCUGGUAAUUCACCAGGUAGGUUUUUGACACUGAAAUCAUUUUUUUAAUAAGAGCAGUGAAUGAAUGGUCAUGCAUUGGAGAAGUGGGAGUCGACCUUGAACUUUGUGUUCAUGCCCAUGGACACGAUGUAGAUCUUAUCAUGGAAGCUUCUCUUAAAGUAAUUAUUCCCUUGGUAUAGGUUCAUCUUAUAUCUUGGAUCUGGUCUUUUGCAAUCAUGGUUCUGGCAAUAUUAUUAUUCAUUAAUUCCUUUUCUCGGACAAGUUAAAUUACUUGUCUUUUGUAGAUUAAUACACCUGUGCAACCUCUAUUCUGCUCAACCUUUGAGUAAUACCCUCUGGUAUCUCGAGAAUAUUACGAAACUACAUAACUUCUUAUGAGUUCUUCGUCAACUAUUAUUCUCGCCGAUUCUAAUUUCCCUCGGGUCUGAGUUAUUAGUCACUCAAGAACACUGAUAAGUGAGUCGAAUCGGCACUCCGAUUCAGUAACUCAAGUAAUUUUCGUUACUUAUGAUUUAAUAAUCCUUCAAGUCAUUCCUAGCCUAAUUGCUAUAUCAUUAUCGUGCUGAAUUUAACUGUGUGCUACCGUGCUACCUGGUCCUUAUUCCCGGAGCAUAACUUUCGGCGAUGAGCUAAGCUUACGUCGAUCUUCCUCGUCUUAUCGUAUCACCUCGAACAGCAAGCUUGGUUUCGAGUCUGUGUCGUAACCGUGAUUCCAAUAACCCUUCGCUUCACCAUUGCUUUGAUAGAUGUCGUCGCUGUUCGAUUUCUUCUUCGUGAAGCCUCUCGACAAAAUUUGUCAUGAUGAUCAUAAUCAACAUUUUGACUCCUUCCAUGAUAUCAACCAAAUUCAUGAUGGUAAGUACCAUCCUCGUCCCUUGGUAAUUUGAGUUACCACCGACAACAUCCUUAUCUCUCUUUCAUCAUAAACUUGUUCAUGUUGUGGAUGCAACUUGCUAUCGAGCUUGUAUUACGUUCUACCUUGAAGUAUUACCCCCUUGUAUGUCAAGGAUGUUGUGAUAAUUGCUCCACCUCUUGAGAAUUCUUGAUAUAUUAUUACUUCUCGCCAUCUCCGUUCAUUCCUUGGUCCCUCCCUAUUGUUUCUAACCGGAAUACCGACAACUGGACUAUGACGUGUGAAUUCAAAACUUCUAGCAACCCUAUUGCUUUGAAGUUAAUGGUCGAUAGUUCAUUCUUAGACUAUUGGUUAUGGAAUCACCAUUUUAUCAUUGAUCAUGCUACCUAACCCCAUAUUUCGGGUGCACCUUUCAACCAUUGUUUAAUUGUGUAUGUUUUCCUCGAGCAUACCUCAUUAUGUCAUCUGAUCUGACAAAUGUUAUCUCCUUAUUCACAUAGUUGUGGAAAUCCAUCCUUUUGGAAAUCUUGAGGACUUGUCGGUGAGUCCAUCAGCCACCUCCUCGUCCUCUCCUUGGUUAAAUGAUGAACUCUUGUUUUGGUACUCGCUUCCAUAGUUCAUUUCCCGAGAAUCUUACAAUGACAUCUCGUCAAUUUGUGUUGCACCUUUUCUUCUCAGGCAUCCUGAGUCUGAGGCAUCCUGACACCAAUCAGAUCUGAAUCUCGGUCAGAUAUGAUGAUUGGGACAUAUUUCCAAGAGUAAUAACAUUGGUCUUUACAUAACAUGGUAAGAUGAUGUCAUGCCUAGCACACCCGGCCGGAGGCCCUAAUGUUAUAGUUCCCUUUAGCAAUGUUAUCCAUUCUUCCAUGAGGAAACUAUACGACUUAUUCUACAAGUUGUUCUUGAUGAAUCCUUCAUGUAUCCAAAGUACGACCUUUGCUUGAAGACCAUGUGAAUGCUAUCUCAAAGCAUGUCUAUGGUACUCCGUUUUAAAACAAGAACAUUUGAAGCCCAAUGCUAAAUGUUUCUUGCUCAAUUAUCCAAACACCAUUGUAUGGGUAAUGUGAUAAAAAUUCUCUCCCCUACCUAAAGAGUUUACUACAUUAUAUCCUGUCAUGGAUAUCAUGCUCUGAUCGUCCUUUCGAAGGAUAUACAUUUGAAAUAUGUGUUUAAACACAUUUUUCUUUCCAUUGUUCUGUUUAAUUUGAUAAUCAUAUUUUUCUUUCCAUUUGUUGGGCUAACGUUUCUUGUGAUCUAUAUGAUCUAAGCAGUAAUAUUCUCCUGCUUAGAAAAACACCUCGGUUUACAACUCUGUCAGUGUGACCCUGUUACUAUUGCUGACGACAUCCUGGUAACCCUCGAUGGAUGAGAACUUUGCCUAUUGGUCCGCCUCGUUCAACGAGCAGGAAAAUGGUUCUCUUCGUCCCUCGCCCUUGGUACCAACAUUGUUGCCAACAUAACUGACAGACUAUCCUCUGCCAUGCCUUGCUACCAUGACCGUGCAAUAUGUCGGCGUCCUUCCUACUUUUGAACCACAUGGUGGGCCCAUAACCCACAGUUCCACAGGAUCGAAACCUGACUCUCCUGCACCCCCCUGUUCCCAAGGUUGCUCCUCGCGUGUGGCCUCGUAUGUAAUUCAUGAGCCAUCUUCCGAGGGAUCAUCAAAUCUGAUGCCGGACGCAAUACUUAUUCUUGAUUGCUUUGAGCCCUUUCACGCCCUGUUUCAGGCAUCGAAUGGUUGCCUGCUCGUUUGAAACUUCCCAUGAAACCUCAUUACUUUGCUCUCGAUAUUUUCUUAAGUUUCAAUUCGAGAGUUACUUUCUGCCACCUUCCCCGAUGAUAUCGACCAGAUAGUCAACCUUGUAGAGGUUCGUUCUCCCAGAAUACCCCUUAUUCUUUCGUAAGUACGAUGGAACCCCCGAAGAAAGGGCAACAACUUCAUCAUGAUGCAUUGAUGCAUAGGAAUGGAAACAUCAACGGUAUGGAUCAACCUCUUCGAGAAGAGCAACCAAGACCGAGAAGAUUCAUUAUAAUUUCGUAAUUAGAACUUUCCCCCUUACUCCCCUCUUAAAAUCUCGGGACGAGAUUUCUUGUAGUGGAGGAGAAUUGUGACGCCCGGAUAAUUAAGCUACAGUAACCCUCUCCUAAUGAUGCCAUGUCACCGCUGUCACUUUAGUUAAUCUCGCGAUGGUUCAAAAACAAUUCAAAUUCAAAUUUAAAAUAAAGACAAACAACAAAAGUUUUCAAACUUUAAAACUAAAAUGUUCGAGUCGUGCUAAAUAAUGCAAAGGUGAUUGUGGUGAAGAAACCCCACUUUUAUAAAAUGUUUAAAUACUAUUAGAUGAAUAAAACAGUAGCAUAAAUAGUUAUUUAAAUACCUUUUGUAAUUAAUAAAAUGUCAAACUAAAUUAUUUGAGGACUUGACUUUUUGUGACAAUGGCCUAAAUUGAAUUACUAAAUUAGAUGCCAAGUAUAUAUAUUUUACAAAAAAAUAAAACAAUAGGAAACAAAGACAAAACAGAAAAGAAAACUAACAAAAAGAAAA
rnacentral:lncRNA from 1 species